rnacentral:rRNA from 1 species
AGCGAACGCUGGCGGCAGGCCUAACACAUGCAAGUCGAACGAGACCUUCGGGUCUAGUGGCGCACGGGUGCGUAACGCGUGGGAAUCUGCCCUCUGGUUCGGAACAACAGUUGGAAACGACUGCUAAUACCGGAUAAUGACUUCGGUCCAAAGAUUUAUCGCCUGAGGAUGAGCCCGCGUAGGAUUAGCUUGUUGGUGAGGUAAAAGCUCACCAAGGCGACGAUCCUUAGCUGGUCUGAGAGGAUGAUCAGCCACACUGGGACUGAGACACGGCCCAGACUCCUACGGGAGGCAGCAGUGGGGAAUUUGGACAAUGGGUGAAAGCCUGAUCCAGCAAUGCCGCGUGAGUGAUGAAGGCCUUAGGGUUGUAAAGCUCUUUUACCCGGGAUGAUAAUGACAGUACCGGGAGAAUAAGCCCCGGCUAACUCCGUGCCAGCCGCCGCUUAACAC